AUGGUGAAUCAUGAUAACUUUACGAAUCGCAUGGUCUUUUGUGCCGGCGAUAGUUCAUUCAAAUAUCUGCCCUAUCAACUUUCGAUGGUAGUAUAGAGGACUACCAUGGUGUUAACGGGUAACGGAGAAUCAGGGUUUGAUUCCGGAGAAGGAGCCUGAGAAACGGCUACUACUUCCAAGGAAGGCAGCAGGCGCGCAAAUUACCCAAUCCCGACACGGGGAGGUAGUGACAAAAAAUAACAAUACCGGUCUUAUUUAAGUCUGGUAAUUGGAAUGAGYACAAUCUAAAUCCUUUAACGAGUAUCAAUUGGAGGGCAAGUCUGGUGCCAGCAGCCGCGGUAAUUCCAGCUCCAAUAGCAUAUAUUAAAGUUGUYGCAGUUAAAAAGCUCGUAGUUGGAUUUUGAAGUUUACAUAUUAUGACCCACUUUGUAUUADGUGUGUUUUGUUGUGAUAUGUACUUCUCC
rnacentral:rRNA from 1 species